rnacentral:rRNA from 1 species
AGAGUUUGAUCCUGGCUCAGGAUGAACGCUAGCGGGAGGCUUAACACAUGCAAGUCGAGGGGCAGCACGUCUUCGGAUGGUGGCGACCGGCGGACGGGUGCGUAACGCGUAUGCAACCUACCCUUAACUGGAACAUAGCCCGGGGAAACUCGGAUUAAUUUUCCAUAGUAUGUCGAUGUCGCAUGGCAUUGACAUUAAAGCUCAGGCGGUUAAGGAUGGGCAUGCGUCUGAUUAGCUUGUUGGUGAGGUAACGGCUCACCAAGGCAAUGAUCAGUAGGGGUUCUGAGAGGAUGAUCCCCCACACUGGUACUGAGACACGGACCAGACUCCUACGGGAGGCAGCAGUGAGGAAUAUUGGUCAAUGGGCGCAAGCCUGAACCAGCCAUCCCGCGUGCAGGAAGACGGCCCUACGGGUUGUAAACUGCUUUUAUACACCAAGAAACCCCUCCUCGUGAGGAGGGCUGACGGUAGUGUAUGAAUAAGCACCGGCUAACUCCGUGCCAGCAGCCGCGGUAAUACGGAGGGUGCAAGCGUUAUCCGGAUUUAUUGGGUUUAAAGGGUGCGUAGGCGGGCCUGUAAGUCAGUGGUGAAAUCCUUCAGCUCAACUGGAGAACUGCCAUUGAUACUGCUGGCC